rnacentral:rRNA from 1 species
UACGGGGGGAGCAAGCGUUGUUCGGAUUUACUGGGCGUAAAGGGCGCGUAGGCGGCGCAACAAGUCACUUGUGAAAUCUCCGGGCUUAACCCGGAGCGGCCAAGUGAUACUGUCGUGCUAGGGUGCGGAAGGGGCUACUGGAAUUCUCGGUGUAGCGGUGAAAUGCGUAGAUAUCGAGAGGAACACCUGCGGCGAAGGCGGGUAGCUGGGCCGACACUGACGCUGAUGCGCGAAAGCCAGGGGAGCGAACGGG